rnacentral:rRNA from 1 species
UACGGGGGGGGGCAAGCGUUGUUCGGAAUUACUGGGCGUAAAGGGCUCGUAGGUGGCCAACUAAGUCGGACGUGAAAUCCCUCGGCUUAACCGGGGAACUGCGUCCGAUACUGGUUGGCUUGAGUUUGGGAGAGGGAUGCGGAAUUCCAGGUGUAGCGGUGAAAUGCGUAGAUAUCGUGAGGAACACCAGAGGCGAAGGCGGCUACCUGGACAAUUGCUGACGCUCAGGCACGAAAGCGUGGGGAGCAAAAGGG